GAUGAAGAACGUAGCGAAAUGCGAUAAGUAGUGUGAAUUGCAGAAUUCAGUGAAUCAUCGAAUCUUUGAACGCACAUUGCGCCCCUUGGUAUUCCAUGGGGCAUGCCUGUUCGAGCGUCAUUUGUACCCUCAAGCUUUGCUUGGUGUUGGGUGUUUGUCCAUUCUCUUGCAGAGGGACUCGCCUUAAAGUAAUUGGCAGCCAGUGUUUUGGUUUUGAAGCGCAGCACAAGUCGCGAUUCAAAGCUAUACGCCCGCUUCCACAAGCCUUUUUCACUUUUGACCUCGGAUCAGGUAGGGAUACCCGCUGAACUUAAGCAUAUCAAUAAGCGGAGGA
rnacentral:misc_RNA from 1 species